rnacentral:misc_RNA from 1 species
AAGUUUCAACCCUUUCCUUUUCACAACCUCUUCAAGCCGAGCUCUGACAUACUUGUUAGAUGCAACACCUCCAGACACUACCAAAUGAUUUAUGGAAGGCUCUAUGUUCAAACCCCACUCGAUUGCCCGUUCACACUUUUCCUCCAAAUGUAAUACCGCAACUCGCUGGAAGGAGGCAGCAAUAUCUGCCCGAGCCUGUCUCUCUUUGUCAGAAGCUGAAGCAAGAGAGAUUUCAGCAUUGAUUCUUUUUGCUUCAAUUGCCAACCUCACUUGCGUCUUCAGACCAGCAUAUGAGAAGUUGCAAUCCUUGUGUUGUUUCAUAGGGACUUUAAAUUUGACAGACUUGGCAUCUCCUUCUUGAGCUAGCUCCUCUACAGCAGGGCCCCCGCUCCUCCUCAGAUCAAGACCAAGCCAUUUUGCUGUUUUGUCAUAUGCCUCACCAAUUGCA